rnacentral:misc_RNA from 1 species
CGAGGAUCGAGAAAUCCAUGCAGCAGUUCAUUUUUUAUAUCAUGAAGAGUUUCUCUUUUGUUUUCUCCCUGUUCUAUUGCAUAAUUAUCAGCAUAAUCAUCAAUAUCAAAGUCAUUCAACAGCUGUGGAUUGUUCUUAAUGUAUGUUAGGGGCUGUGUUUGAGCAACAUCAUUAUGGACAGCCUUAGACAAACUUUCAGCAAGACCAUAUGACUCAGGGUGAAUUCUUGUAUCAUCCAAUAGACCAAAUUCAUUGGUAGCAGAAAGCAGCUGAUUACCACG